rnacentral:rRNA from 1 species
UACAGAGACUGCAAGCGUUAUUCGGAUUCACUGGGCGUAAAGGGUGCGCAGGCGGCCAGGUGUGUUAGGCGUGAAAGCCCGGGGCUUAACCCCGGAAUUGCACCUAAAACUACUUGGCUAGAGCAUUGGAGAGGGUAGCGGAAUUCACGGUGUAGCAGUGAAAUGCGUAGAGAUGUGGAGGAAUACCGAUGGCGAAGGCAGCCCCCUGGGUCAAUACUGACGCUCAUGCACGAAAGCGUGGGGAGCAAACAGG